rnacentral:ncRNA from 4 species
AUAAAAUAAUUAUGUUUUUGGAAAUUUAUUAUAAAUUUAUUUUACAUAUAAAUUUUAGUAUAUAAUUUUAAUUAUUUAAAUAAUAAUUAAUUUAUUUCAGUAGUAAUUAAUAUUAAAAAUUUAAGAAAUUAAGAUUUAGUAAUAUAAAAAUUAAUAACUAAUUUUGUGCCAGCAGUUGCGGUUAAACAAAAGUUAAAUUAAAUUAUUUCAGUAUAUAAUAAAUAAUUAAAUUAUUAAAAUAAAUAUUAAAUUAUUAAGUGAAAUUUUAAUUUAAUUAAAUUUUAUUUUGAAAUUAUGAUUUAAUAAAUUUUAAUAUAAACUAGGAUUAGAUACCCUAUUAUUAAAAAUUUAAUUUAUAAUACUAAAAUAGUAAAUAAUAAUUUAUUGAAACUUAAAUAACAUGGCGGUAUUUUAGUUCAUUUAGAGGAAUCUGUCUAAUAAUUGAUAAUCCACGAAUAAAUUUACUUAAUUUAUAAUUUUGUAUAUCAUUGUUAAAAAAAUAUUUUUUAGGAAAAAUAAUAUUUAAAAAUUAUAAUAAAAAAUUAAAUCAGAUCAAGAUGCAGAAUAUAAUUAAGAAUAUGAUGGAUUACAUUAAAUAUAUUUAUAUGAAUAAUUUUAUUGUAAUAAAAAUUUGAAGGUGGAUUUAAAUGUAAUUUUAAUUAGUUUAUUAAAAUGAUUAAAAAUUAAAAUAUGUACAUAUUGCCCGUCACUUUCAUUUAAAAAUUGAAAUAAGUCGUAACAAAGUAGAGGUACUGGAAAGUGUUUCUAGAAAGA